AUACGUAGGGCGCGAGCGUUGUUCGGAAUUACUGGGCGUAAAGCGCGUGUAGGUGGCCAGGUAAGUCAGGUGUGAAAGCCCUCGGCUCAACCGGGGAAGUGCACCUGAAACUGCCUGGCUAGAGGGCGGCAGAGGGAGGUGGAAUUCCUGGUGUAGAGGUGAAAUUCGUAGAUAUCAGGAGGAAUACCGGUGGCGAAGGCGGCCUCCUGGACCGUUCCUGACACUGAGACGCGAAAGCGUGGGGAGCAAACAGGAUUAGAUACCCUAGUAGUCC
rnacentral:rRNA from 1 species